GUCGACGAUUGAACAUGCAGUGAACAAGUUGAGCACAUAAUAAUAAAUAAAAGUGAAUUUUAGCAUCAGUGGCAUGUCAUAAUCUUUGCAUUUAUUAUUAUUGAAGGCAUAAAAUUACUUCAAAAGUUAUUAUAUUUAUUUUAAUAGCGCUGCAACUUUCACUCUCUCUCCCGCAGCGCAAAGUUUGCUCAAUAACAAAGGAACCUGUUAAAUUGGCCCAAAUGGACAGCUCAAAUUGCAGCCUGCGGUGGCCCACCACGACCCACUAAAAGUGCAAAACACACGAGACACGUUAAAAUCAUUUAUGUGGCUUUGAAAGCCACAAAUGUUGACGUCGUAUGGAUUUUGGCUUUCUGCAAAGGGAUCUCUGCCAAGCUGAGGCUGUUAACAUAACGUAUACGCAGCGUAUGCUUUUACGAGUAUAGAAAACGCGUCGUCGUGACGCUUUACGAUGCCCGCAUCAUUUGAUUUUAUUGCCAAGCCGCUUGCAAGUGUCAAACAAAAAUAAAUCUACAAACAAAAAGAAAAAAAAGAAACGGGCGAAGCGAAUCUGUCCCUGCCCUUGAGCCAGUUGAGCCCUUUUAUGCGCUGGUGAUUAAUGCGCCUAGUGCCGACAAUGUCCCCAAUACAUGGGAAUGCAACGAAGCCAAAGCACAGAGCAGCGUCAAAUGCAAAUAACCCCGCCGGCUUUGAUAUAAUCAAAUCGAAAUGGCAACAAGCAACAACUACAGCAGUCAAACGAUGAACGGAAAAUGCAGCACACACACACAUAUAUAUAUAUACAUAUAUAGUACGACAUAGACCGCCGCAAGCUUGCUUGCUUCUGUUGCUCUAGAAUCCGUAAAGCUUAACAAAUAUUUUCAUGUUUUGCUUGCUUGUUUGGCUCGGCUCUGUUGACAUUUUCUAUUUGCCAACAGCCAAGAACACACACACACACGCAUGCACACGCACACUAAUGACAGGAAUUUCGACAGCUUAUUUUCAAGCAUAUUUCAUUUUGUUGGUAUUUCAAUUUUACAAAAAAAUCAACAAGCUUUUGUAUAAGAAGCCAUGCGUGACGUCUCUGAUAUUGAUGUUUAAUAUAUUGCCAAAUAUUUUUGUGGUCAAAUCGCUUUAGUUAGGCUAAAGUUAUUUUGAGGCUAGUAUGUGACCUCAAUAAGAGUUAAAUAAUAAAACCAAAAAGUGAACAAAUAAGCAAAUAUGUAUAAAUAUAUUGUAUUAAAGUGCACACAAUUUUAACAUGCUUGAUGGCCAUGUCCUGUGUUUUAAUUUGAACGCUCACAAAUAAAAUUGUUUUUGCCUAAAAGUAGGCAAUGCUUUUUACUGCAUGGGUAUCAAAACCGCAAGCAGAAAAUUAGCCAUAUCUCGUCUAUAUCCUGUCACAUUUGCAAAAUUGUUGGCUUGCGGACCUCACAGGACGAUUAUCUAUCGAUCUGCAUUAAAAAAUUAUGGUGUCAUCUAGUGAUC